rnacentral:misc_RNA from 1 species
CAAAGUGUAAAGACUCCCAAAACCCAUGUGAACAUACCUUUUUGUUGCUUCGGCGGGAUCGCCCCGGGCGCCUUGUGUGCCCCGGAGUCAGGCGCCCGCCGGGGGACCCAAACUCUUGUUUUUAACGAGUAUCUUCUGAGUAACGUUUUUAAAUAAACAA